rnacentral:rRNA from 1 species
UACGAAGGGGGCUAGCGUUGCUCGGAAUCACUGGGCGUAAAGCGCACGUAGGCGGCUUCUUAAGUCAGGGGUGAAAUCCUGGAGCUCAACUCCAGAAUUGCCUUUGAUACUGAGGGCCUUGAGACCGGAAGAGGUCGGCGGAACUGCGAGUGUAGAGGUGAAAUUCGUAGAUAUUCGCAAGAACACCAGUGGCGAAGGCGGCCGACUGGUCCGGUUCUGACGCUGAGGCGCGAAAGCGUGGGGAGCAAACAGG